GCCCGUGUGGCUCAGUGGUUGAGCGUUGGCCUAUGAACCAGGAGGUCAGGGUUCGAUUCCCAGUCAGGGCA
rfam:Myotis lucifugus cont2.60656, whole genome shotgun sequence.